CCCAGGCCUUGUACACACCGCCCGUCACAUCAUGAAAGCCGCUUGUACCCGAAGUCGUCCAUCAAAAGGCGCGAAGGUAUGGGUGGUGAUUGGGAUG
rnacentral:rRNA from 1 species